AGGACGAACGCUGGCGGCGUGCUUAACACAUGCAAGUCGAACGAUGAUGCCCAGCUUGCUGGGUGGAUUAGUGGCGAACGGGUGAGUAACACGUGAGUAACCUGCCCUUAACUCUGGGAUAAGCCUGGGAAACUGGGUCUAAUACUGGAUAUGACUUUUCAUCGCAUGGUGGAUUGUGGAAAGAAUUUUGGUUUUGGAUGGACUCGCGGCCUAUCAGCUUGUUGGUGAGGUAAUGGCUCACCAAGGCGACGACCGGGUAGCCGGCCUGAGAGGGUGACCGGCCACACUGGGACUGAGACACGGCCCAGACUCCUACGGGAGGCAGCAGUGGGGAAUAUUGCACAAUGGGCGAAAGCCUGAUGCAGCGACGCCGCGGUGAGGGAUGAAUGCCUUCGGUUGUAAACCUCGUUCAGUAGGAAGAAGCGAAAGUGACGUACUGACAGAAGAAGCGCCGGCUAACGUACGUGCCAAGCAGCCGAC
rnacentral:rRNA from 1 species